UACGAAGGGGGCGAGCGUUGUUCGGAAUUACUGGGCGUAAAGGGCGCGUAGGCGGCCCCUUUUGUCGCGUGUGAAAGCCCCGGGCUCAACCUGGGAACGGCGCGCGAAACGGGGGGGCUUGAGUUCGGGAGAGGAGAGUGGAAUUCCCAGUGUAGAGGUGAAAUUCGUAGAUAUUGGGAAGAACACCAGUGGCGAAGGCGGCUCACUGGCCCGUAACUGACGCUGAGGAGCGAAAGCCAGGGGAGCAAACGGGG
rnacentral:rRNA from 1 species